UUCCUUCCCAAUAUCCCACCUAACCCUGAUCUCCAGCAGUGGAAGCCUUUCCCUGUGUCCUGUCCCUUCUCUCAAAGUGAGGACAGUGAAUGCAUCCACUAAUUCAUAACUUGCAAUUUAAAUGGAUUUAUUAAAAAAAUGAUUCUGUUCAUCAAUUGAAUGGAUUGAUCAAUUUGAAUUUUGCACCUGCAGCAGUGGUGAAUCCUGGGCAUCAGAAAGUCCUUGAGAAACCAAUAAAAAUACAUUUGAGGAAAAACUGACAGAGUUGAAUUUAUUUUGGAAAUCCUGAAAAUGCCAUUUGCAUUAUUCCUCUUUAAUGUUUCUAUUUCUGCUCUGACAAAUUGAUGGAAUAGAUUUAUUCUGCUGAGGCUCAGAGGCUUUGCUUUCACAUCAUCCCUUUGCACAAUCACAAUCCUCGUGGACAGAAUAAAGCACUCAAUUCUUAUUUUUCUGCUCAUUUCAAAACUCACUUGACUGGUAAAAGAUCUCUUUUCAUUGCAGUGAUAUUUUUUGAGCCAGACUGUAAUUUUUUUUCCUGCAAUCAUCUUUCAGCCACAACAGAUUGAUCCAGUCAUUGUCACCUCUGGGGUGGUAAUUGAGGGAUGUUCCCCUCAGACACCCUCAGGCAAUUCCACACCAAGGAAAGAGCUUUUUCCAAGACUUUUUUUUCCCAUCAAACUUUGAUAUGUUUUGUGUUGAAAAUUCUGAACAAUCACUGGCUUUUGCUGGAUUCAUCCACUGCUGAAAACCUCUGCCAGCUUUACACUCAAUUUACCUCCAGCAAUUCCAAGAGGAAGAUGGAGAGGAGUAAAAUACAGAAUAUAACAAGAAAACCCAGGAAGCAAAUGGAGGAAUCAAAUUCUGGAGGUCUAAGAGGACAUUUAGAUUGGAUAUGAGAGAAAAUUUCUCCAUGGAAAGGGCUGCUCAGCCCUGGCACAGGGCAAGGAUGGAAUUCCCUUCCUGGGAGGGAUUUAAAAGCUGUGUGGAUGUGGCCCUUGGGGACAUGGGUUAGAGGUGGCCUUGGCAGUGCUGGGGGAACAAUUUGCCUCAAUGGUCUCUUGAGAGCUUUUCCCCUCUCCCCAAUUCCAUGAUUCUAAAAUCCAUCCCUGCUCUCCACUGGACUUUCAGCCACACAUUGCCUCUAACCCUGCAAGUUCAUCCCUGAUUUCUGCUGCUGUGAAACAUUCCUGACCUGUUGCUGACUCCUGAGCCUCCCUGAUGGUGCUCCUUGAGCGGUCCUGCAAUAUUCAAAUAUUAAUUCUGACUGCACUGAACAAAUUCCCCCGGGAACAAACAGCAAUCAGGAUAAUCCCCUGCAGCUCCACCACUUCCUUGGUCUCUAACAGGUGCUGUCAAAUAAAUCCACAGAAUAAAUCAGCCUCUUUGUAACCAUGAGGAAGGAUUUUAUAACUGCCUUUGCUGAGUGGGAGGACGUUUUUCUCUCUGCUUUUUCACUGACAGUCAGAUAAAAAACACACUAAUCGAGAGAGACAUGAGACAGAGGCCUUGGAGGUGAACUCCUGUUUAUACUGAGGGCUCCUAAUCCUUCACUCAUUUGAGGAUUCUGGUGUUACCACAGCAAAGAGAACCAAGCUGUUUGGAUCCAGACCAGUUGUCAUUAUGGAUGGACCAGGAGAUGCCAAAAAUACUGAUGGGUGCCUUUGCAGUGUUUUCAUGCUGAGCACCUUUGCAUCAGCUAUUCUUUAUUCUUCUAUCACAGCUUGUCCUUCUCCUGGCAGGACACUCACAGGGAUCUCCAGCAAGGGCAUCUGCAGGGGUGGAGCUGGUCUCCAUAAAGUAGAUACCUGUAGCUCUAUAUAUCUCUAAAUAUCACUAGGUAUUUUUCUGUUAUGCUACUGCACUGGACUUGCAGAAAAAUCCAUCUUUGCUUUCUUGCCACUUUAAAAAAAUAUUGCCCCUGGAUAUUUCCUUCCCCAUUCUUGCUCCUUUUAUUUCUAAAAUGUUCACCAGAAUGCACUGUAUUUCUUCCCGUGGUCUGGAAAAUGGAUCAAGGCAAUGACACCUACUUAACAUACAUUUUUCCUCCCCAAAGCUUUGCAGUGAGAUGAAGGAAGUGUCAAUUCCUUCUGAAGGAGAGCAGCUCUGGGACUGACAGCAGGCAGCCAGGAUGCAGACACACAGCCUUGGGAGAUGUGCAGAGAGCAGCUCUGCAAACCUUAUUCAUCCAGCUGAAAUGCAAAUGCUGCUCCUCUGAGGGGAGGGGAGAGGCUGCUGUGAUCCAGGCAGGAUAAAGUGUGCAGGGUUUUUCUGGGGGGGGUUCAUGCUUCCAGGAAGCAGAGGGUCAUGAGAAGGAGGGUCUCUGAAGAGAGCUCAGAAAGAGAGGGGUGACAUGGACUGACUGACAGCAAACAUCACCCCCGUGCUGCCACUUGGCAUCUUGGACCAUUUUCAUUCCAGCAACAGAUGUCAGAGAGCAAAUGAGUACUGGCAGCUCUGGGCCGGUGAGAAAAUAGAUGUGGGAGUGUGUGGAAAUGCUGACAACCCAAAGAGAUGCAAAGAUGCAUGGACCAUGUUUUAAAACCUCCACUAAAGCCCUUCCUCCUGGGAAGCUCCUGUUUUGUUUCUCCAAGUGUCUGUUCUCUCUGCUCAGCACCAAGCCCUGUGUGUGCUGCCAAGGGCUGUGCACAGCUCAGCUAGCAUGAAUGAAAUGAGCUGAGAACACUUGGAUAUUUAUAGGAUCAGCAAGCUGGUGCUCCAGAAAAUCUAAAAGCUCUUCAAAGUGCCUUUAGCUCCAGAGCAACACUGACAGUCCCUGCCAGCUUGUGGGGACACUUGGGAGGAAGAAUCACAGCAGGAAUGUUGACCAUGGAAUAAUCCUGAGCUUUGUGCUGGGCAUCUUCCAGUUUGCAGAGAGCAAACAAUAAAUUAAAACAUUAAGAUAUGGAAUAAACACAAAGGCAUGCCCAAGAUUUCUGUGGAAAUGGAUAUACAAGAUAAGUUUUCUGUGGAAGAAACAGCAAUGUGGUGAUGAGUUUAAGAUAAUUGAGCUGAAUAUUGCUUAGAUAUAUUGCCAGCUGUUCUAACAGUGGCUUAUCACUAAUGACAGCUUUGAGGAAGCUGAAUGUUUUCCAGCUAUACCAGCCAAUCUCUCCCCAUUUCCUGGAGACACGCACUCCAAAAAGGGAGCAGGACCUGGCAAACCAACCAUUGCUGUCACAGAGCUUCUGUAAUUCCAAACCAGUUCCUCCUGCAGCCCUGGGGACCAAGGUACAAGGGCCAGGAGCCUGCCCCUGGCUGAACCUGAGCAGUGUGGAAGGCUCCACCAAGAUAAGAUAACGGGCUGCACCCGCCGUGCGGGCGCGUGUUUGAGAUCCACGUUUCCCAGCUGCUGAUCCCACCUCACAUGGUGAUCCACACUCACGGGGCUUGGGACUGGGCUCCUUCCAACCCAAACCAUUCCAUCAUCCUAUGACAGCAAGGCCCUUCUAGAGGAGUAAUUGUAUUUCCACCAUGAGGUUCUCCAGCCCAUAAAGCUGUAAAGGUGAUGAGACCUACAACACUGAUGUUGUGACAUAAAUAUGGAUUGGUGAUGAGACCUACAACACUGAUGUUGUGACAUUAAUAUGGACUGUGAAGCUCCUGGGAGUGCUGCUGGUUUAUAGGCUCUCAAGCAGAGAUUCCUCCAGGACUUCCAGAUCUUCCAAGGGAAUUCUCAGCAGCCAGCUGACACGGCAGAUCAACACCCUGGCUCGAGCAUCAUAGGAUCCUUGAAGAGAGAAAAGCCCAGGAAAUCAGUCUGAUCAGUCUGAUGACAGAGUUUAAUUAAGGAGCAGAGUACUCAAGGAACGUGUCACAGAGCAGCUCCUUCCCCCAGGCCCUUUUUUUCUUCCAGGAACAUGAGAAGAGACUGAUAAAUGGCAAAUCCUUCUUCCCUGUGAAGAAAGCCACCACACCAGGCAACCAGCAGAAAAUACUUUAGGCUGAGAUUUUCAUAACAGCUUUCCUGCCUUUCUAAAGGAAGAGGUCACCUGCUCCCCUGGAAACACUGGAGAAAAACCACCCCACUCCAGCACCAUUUACAUCUGCUUGCCAAUGCAUGGUGUGUGAAGGACUUUGAGCACUUCUGGACUAGGAACAGAUCCUCUGAGGCAUUUCAUGAACUGACAGGAGACAGGAAAAGGUGGCUGAGGAAAUGGGAGCUGUUGAUGGUGACCAGAGAAGUUCACUGCUCUUAUCUCCCCUAACACAGCCAGGUCCUCACAUCUGCUGCUCUGCCAGGCCAUUGCUCAAGGUGAGUGUGUGAUAGCCCUUAAUCAAUCAAUAGCAGAGCACUGGCUUAUGCAGGGUGUCUGGCACAGGGUGACACAGCACAGGGUGACAGAACCCAUGUUCUGUGCACCACCAGCAGCAGCCCAAAGCUCUCUUCACCCUGCAUGGCAUAACAUGAGGUUGGAUGAGGAGAGAUCUUCCCCAGCAAAUGCUGCCAAAAUGCUUCACCUCUUUUAUCUUUCCAUCAGUUUUUACAGCAGAACAUUAUGGAGCAGCCCAAAUUUCACUUCCUCGGUGAAAGAAAAUCCAGUCACAAAAACUUCGUUCUGGUCAAAGUGUACUCUGGGAAGAACACUUUGGAAAUUAUGCUCCUUGGAGCAAGUAUGUGGAGGUGGUUUGUGAUACACAUAUAGUGAAGGGGCUUUUAAACAAGUGAAAAUCAGGUCUACUGUGUUCAGGGUAUCACUAAAAUCUGUACAACACGUGUAUGAAUGGAAACCACUGCAGUAACAUAAUCCAAGUAAAAACUCUGUCAGUUCUCUGCUGUGUAGAGUGCAACCAUCAAAGACACAACUCAGCAGACAGUGACCAUGCUACACGUUCAUCAUUUCCAAGAGCUCUUUAUGGAUAGACUGCCAGUCUCCCCACAGCUGGUUAUAAAUAAAUGCCCAUCAGAAAUACUGACUUUAUUUCCCUGACUGCACAAACAGCAUUUCAGCUGCAAACAGACAGAUAGGACAAACCUCUUUUGCAAAGCAAACAAGGAUGAGGGGAGCACAUGG